CCGGUUUCUACAGUGGCUGCUGGCACACCGGUCCACGCACAUGCCUGCCUCACACUCUGGAGAAGCUGUUUGUCAGCUAUGGUAACGGAUGUGGAAAGAAGAGGGAGAAGGAACACACGCACAUGGCAGCAGCAUUCUGAAAUCACAGAAAACAUUAUACUCUAAAUACAGUAGUGAUCUCCAUUCAUGAAGCAAGUUUAAAGCAUCCUCGAAGAUGUCAUUAUAUUUCAAAGGUGAGACUAAUUUUAUUUAAAGAGCAUUCCUGUAUUAACUUGAAAACUGUCUCUUCGGGAUGUUCCACUUGAAUUCUGGAGCUAUUUAUAUUCCUAUAAUGUGAAAUCUAAGGAAAUAGGACUGAGGCAAGUGUGGGAUGGCAACUAUGGUCGGGGCGGGACAGAGAAUCAUCUUCCAGAAGAGAAACCUCCCAUUAGAUCUCGCCCCAUGCAUUCCUUCAAAAGUAGCCUUCUUUCCCUUUUCUGUAGGCAAAAUUCUUUUCUCAGUUUUAUGUUCUCCUCCCCCACCCCACAACCUCCCCAACACCACAACUGAGUUGCAUAUUUUUCUGUUACAGGCUGCUCUCACCAAGCUAAAGUUCAAGAGCGGCCAGGCUACAAAAUUAAUUUUGAAUGUGUCAAAUUUAAGCUCCCACUGUUGACCAGGAGCUCCACAGUGCAUCUCCACAGUGCAAAUGACAACUGGUUAUGCUUGACAUCUGUUUAUCACAAUUAGCCGUUUAGAAUGGGGAUGCCAUUCCCACAAACAGCAGAACAUUAACAGUGGUUUAAAGGAGCCAGGACUCUGCUCCUUCUGCAUUUCACCAGUAAUGUCCUCAUAGCUCAGCUCUGUCCUGUCUUAAGUUCACUUCGAGUGUAUUCUCCUCCAAGUUUUCUGUAACAAUGGCGUCAACAGAUUGGUGGAUGCGGGUACUGUGUAUAUUAUGUAGGUACUCAUGGGUGCUAUGUUAUAUUAGAAGAGAGAAUAUCUCUAUGUAAUUCUUUAGAGAAGCUAUAACAAGCAGGCAAGUAAAGGAAAAAAAAAAUAUUGAAGCAAUUAAAUCACCUGUCCUUACAAAUUAUGAGGUGAAUAAGGGAACCAUUGUUAUACUUACGAAGUAUGGAAACCUACCUAGUAUUAGACUGAACCAUAUUAAAUUGUUAAUAUUUCACAAUUUUUGGUCUACCAGAAUAGCAUUUUCAUUUGAUUCAACCUGCAGUUGAACUAUAGUUAACUAUAACAUUACUAGUAAUUAACUAUUUAUCAGUAGUUACUAUGUUACAUUCUCUAAUCAUCACCACAAUUUUACUAUAAUUAUUGUUACAACAUUACAGAGGAGAAAAGGGAGGCGUGGGGAGGUUAGGGAAUGUGCUGAACACUUCACAGUUAGCAAGCAGUGGAAAUGGGAUUCACACCUGGUAAUCUGACUCCAGAGCCCGCUUUGAACCACCGCCCUCUACAAAAGAGAAUCUGAAAUCUGACUUUGGCAUUCACCAGCUUUGUGAGCCUGGGCCAAUUACUAAACUUCUCUAUGCCUCAGGUUUUUUUUCCCUCUGAAUUGGGACUGACCAUAGACCCUAUCUGAUGUGAAGACAGACCCUAUCUAAUGUGAUGAUAUAAGUAAAGCACUUAGCCCAGAGCCUGGCCCAUGGAGAGAGCGCAAAUGUUCCCUAAUAGCAGUGUGUGGGCGGGACAAUCGCUCUCCCACCUUCCCCAAGACCGGAAGUGAAACAGCACAUGUUGUGUCCCCAUCACCAUGUGGUGGGCCGGCAGCCACUCAUAGACGGGAGGGCGGUGGGGUCUGGAGUUCUCAAGUCUGGAAGUGACACUCUUCACAGUCAGUGCACGUGACUUUGGUGCAUAGGAGGAUCUUCACACUGCUAUGUGCACCAGCUCUCUCACCUAGAAGACAGACCAUCCACGCCACACUGUUGCCCCUACCAUGCUCCACCUCCUUAACCCUGCCCUCAGCCCUGUCUUCUAUUUCCUGCUUUAGAGCUGCUACUUCAUAUUUCUAUGAGAAUCUAGAAAGCUUUCACAAACAACUUAGACUUCUUAUUACCUGACUCGCUCCUUUGGCAAUCAACUAUACAGUAUUAUGCAACCCAUGCUUAAAGAAGCAUUGAUGAUCUAAGCAGUGCUAUGGAACCCACAAGGCCCUCGACCAGGAUGUGGGGCUUGGCUUCUGGUUCUGCCACUGACCUAAGUGACCUUGAGCAAGUUACUUAUCAUCUCUGGACUCCAGUCCUUACUCUAAUCUAGAACAUCACUAAGUGUCUCCCGGUACUAAUAUGGUGAGUUCUGAAAACAUAUGAAGGUUUUAUUUUUUCUCUAAAAGUUAGUAGCUCAUCCAUUCAGGCACAUCUUUUCUUCUGAUUACCUUUUAAAAGACAACCCCGCAGGCAAGAGAGGUUUAUGUUACUCUGCUGAUAAACUGUAGACCAAGAUAGAUGGCCUUGAUUUCAGAGCACCAGAUUUCCACUGGCAUUUUUCCUUAAUGAUUUGCACAUGUCCUUGUAGGGUGCUUGGUGGUUAGAGAUUGCAAUGGGGGGUGGUCUAUGGAGGGAAAGCCUCACCAAAUAAUGAGGAAAAUGUGGUUUCCUUACUCAUUUUCCACUUCUUUGCAUCUGUGUUUCUGCAUAACAGUUAUACUGUUCUUUAGCGGUUAUAAGGUAGAUUCGUCUACUCUGUAAGGUAGAUUUGAAUGAUGCCUGUAUGGCAUUUACUUGCCAGGCCUUGUAUUUUUAUGGUAUGCUCCAAAAGCUCAAAGCGUUUUCACAGAGUAUAUUUUUAAAAAUUAAAAGUUCGUCCUCAGUAUUCCUAGGAAGAAUUGAGAGACUUUUAUGAGUGGAGGAGAUAAAGACGGCCUGUUGGCCUCAGGACUGCUUUCUUGUCAUAGAGCACUCACCACCUUCUAACAUACUGUAUAAUUUUCAUGUGUAUUAUGUUUAUUAAUCAUUCCUCUGCUCAGAACAAUGUCAGCUUCAUGAGGGCGGAGAUGUUUGUUUUGAUCAUGGCUGAGUACCAAGCAUCUGGAGCAAUGACUGGUAUAUAUUAGAUGCUCAAUAAGUAAACUCAACUUUAUAAAAUCAUGUAAACAAUUCGGGUAGAACUGUUAUCCUGUACAUUUCACUUUUUAGAAAUCACACUGUUAUAGAAGAAAGAGGCCAUCUAAAAUCGAUUGCUCUGGUGAGGACCAAGGUGAUGAUGAUGUAUAAGGCAAAAAAAGCAAAUAAAUUUUCGUGUGGUUCAGAAUUAGUUUAGCCCAAUUCUGUAAAUUUUCACAUGGAUAUUCCAGGCUGGAAAAAAGUCAAAGCAAAAGAAACAAACAAACAAACAAAAAACUGGGCAGUGAGCCUAGAGAGAAACUCAAUAGGCCUAGUUUCUCUUUUCUAGUCCAUUUUGUUUAAUUUUAUGGGAAAUAUUGUAUUUGUUGUAUUUGUUGGAGAACUCCGAGUGUGUCUAAAGGAGUCAGAUCCUUGAGGACACUCUAAGAAAAGUGGACACAAAGCAGCUGAGCCAGGCUCACUUUGUACUUGAGUGAACACUUUUUUAUCCCAAACUGACCAUAAGCUGACCUCAAGAUUGAUGAGAUAAUGGCAGCAGGCCUCUUAGCAUUGUAAAAGAUGUCAGUUAAGUCCAAAGUAUUAUUAUACCUUUGCCUGUAUAAUAAUUGUAGGACAUAAACCACUUAUGAUACAGAAAUCAGAGGUCAUGAUAUUUUCUCAUUGCUGGUAUUACUGCUGAAAGUCACAUUUUUCAAUUUAAAUUAUGCUUCUAUUGUGCUGUCUGAGGCUAACAGUCCUAAAGUAAUCAUAUCAUCCCUCUUCUUCUUUUCUUUCUUCACAUCCUCUAAUUCUUUGGGGAAACCAAGGUAUUUCUUCACAAGAAUGUUACUGGCCAGACGGGAGCAAAUAAACACAUGGAGCUCGGUCAUCCCUUCCAAGUCUCAACAUUCCCACUAGGGAACCCCAAGUUAUCACUGGGCGCUAAGAAUAACAGGUAUAGCGGAAUUACACUUGGGUUCACUUUUACCCUUGGGGGUGAAACAAAAACUGGAGAAAGAGCAUGUGGAACACAAAUUAUAGCGUUAUUAAUGACUCUUUCAAUCUAGGAAAAUUACACAGCUAAUAUAAAUAACAAAUAAAGUAUAAAGCUAA